GAUGAACGCUGGCGGCGUGCCUAAUACAUGCAAGUCGAGCGAAUGGAUUAAGAGCUUGCUCUUAUGAAGUUAGCGGCGGACGGGUGAGUAACACGUGAGUAACCUGCCCAUAAGACCGGGAUAACUCCGGGAAACCGGGGCUAAUACCGGAUAACAUUUUGAACCGCAUGGUUCGAAAUUGACAGGCGGCUUCGGCUGUCACUUAUGGAUGGACCCGCGUCGCAUUAGCUAGUUGGUGAGGUAACGGCUCACCAAGGCAACGAUGCGUAGCCGACCUGAGAGGGUGAUCGGCCACACUGGGACUGAGACACGGCCCAGACUCCUACGGGAGGCAGCAGUAGGGAAUCUUCCGCAAUGGACGAAAGUCUGACGGAGCAACGCCGCGUGAGUGAUGAAGGCUUUCGGGUCGUAAAACUCUGUUGUUAGGGAAGAACAAGUGCUAGUUGAAUAAGCUGGCACCUUGACGGUACCUAACCAGAAAGCCACGGCUAACUACGUGCCAGCAGCCGCCGUAA
rnacentral:rRNA from 1 species